rnacentral:rRNA from 1 species
UACGGAGGGUGCAAGCGUUAAUCGGAAUUACUGGGCGUAAAGCGCACGCAGGUGGCUGAGUCAGUCGAUUGUGAAAGCCCUGGGCUUAACCUGGGAAUUGCAGUCGAUACUACUCAGCUAGAGUAUGGGAGAGGGUAGUGGGAUUCCCGGUGUAGCGGUGAAAUGCGUAGAUAUCGGGAGGAACAUCAGUGGCGAAGGCGGCUACCUGGCCCAAUACUGACACUCAGGUGCGACAGCGUGGGGAGCAAACAGGG